UACAUAUCAAGAGCGGCGGGGAGUUCCUACAUCGCAUAAAGCUAUGUAAGACGCAGGAUUUCGCCUGAUGAUCCGCCCGGCAACCGGUCGAUAAGAUACGGUGCCAAAACGAACCCCGGUUCAACCGGGGAAUGAUAGGCC
rnacentral:ncRNA from 2 species